AGAGCGCGUUGGGCUCUGGAAAGUCUCCAUAAUAAAAUCCAAAGCUUAGAAAAACGCAAGAAACAGAUCAAUUAUUAUUAUUUUAAUUUCAAAGUUGGACAAAGGAUACAUUGAAUAGGGGGGUUACCUCACAAACCUGUAUUUCCCCGCCUCUGGUUUCUUAGCAGGAUGGGAGAGUUGAGAGGACCUGCAGGGACUUCUUGAGCCCUGCCUAGGAUGCGGGCCUGAUUCCAGCCCUCGGGCUCCAGGAGCUGUUUCUCGUCUUCCAUGCCUUUCUGCCAUGCUGCCCUGCCUUGGAGCCAGACGACUAUGAACUUAAGCCUCUACAAACUCUUCCUGUCUCACAGUGGAAUCUCCUGUUCCUGCACACUAUUGCUAUUGUGAUGCCAUCCAUCCUGUGGGCCUUGCCAGGGCAAGCUGAAGACAGUGCCAUGACCUUGAAACUCCAGUCUCCUCCUACCCUCCUCUUCCAUUGACAGAAACUCUCUGGAAGCCAGCUGGGAAAGGAGUUUAUUUAUUGGUUUCAAACUCUGCAUCAUCAGGAAGGAGUAAGGAAAAGUAUUUAUGGAACUGAAGGCUAAGGG
rnacentral:lncRNA from 1 species